CCGAGGGUGUGCUGUGCGGCAGGGCUGCUCUGAGUUCGAGAGGAAACUGCAUCCGCAUCAGCAGUCUCCCGCCAGAUUUCCCUGAUGUAAGAGCAUUCUUGCUUUGACCUCUACUCCUGGAAAAUUCUCAACCAAGGGUCGAAGGGCACGGCGUUUCGGGGGAGACCACCAUUCUCAAGUGGGCACUGGCACCUCGGAUGUCAUCUCCUCCUUUCCCUGGCUGGUGGGUGGAGAUGCCGGAUGCAGAGGACAGAAGCUGGGCUGAGCUUCACAGCGAAUAACUACCUCUGAGAAACUAUGAAUCGAUGAAUACUUACACUGAAAACACAGCUCUGUACGCCCAAGGGAGGCCUCUAGACUAGUGUGUGUGUGUGUGUGUGUGUGUGUGUGGGUGUGUGGGUGUGUUCACUGCAGGUCAACAACUCCAGGACUAAGGGGGCUGUGGAGAUUCAGAACAGGUAAGCAAUGUUCAAGUUCAAGGUCACCCCGCUGGGGA
rnacentral:lncRNA from 1 species